rnacentral:lncRNA from 1 species
AGGAACAUUUGGGUUAUUCUCAAUUUUUUGCUCUCGUAAGCCUCACAGUAAAUCACUUUUGCAUACUUAUUUUCUUCCCCUAGAAGUGAGGGUGCUGGUUCAAAACACAUGCAUGUUUUUAAGGUUUUUAAUACAUAUUUAAAACGUACAGGUUCUGUAUGCAGAGCUUAAGUACUUGCUUCUGCCUAUGCCCUUUGAGACAUAUUAGAGAUUCCCUCCCACUCCUUUUUUUCUCUGACAUAUUAGAUGUGCAGAGCUAACAGGUAGGCAUUGAGUCAUUUGACAGGACCUGAAAUCAAGCUCUGGUGGUGAUCUGUGGCACCCAGUCCAGUGCUCCUUGACACCUACGUGGAGAUGAGGGACAGCCAACUCCAUGAAAUGCUGAAUGGUACAGCAGGGCCCAAAGCCUGGGAGGAAUCCCAGAGGUCCUUGGGGGUAGGAAGGGUGCAUAUGUGUGACAGUUCUCAGGGGAAAAGUGGACAACACGUUAGGGCACCUGCUAUUAUGUCACCACCAUCUUUAUCUUAGGUUGGCAGGGCUGUGGGCUUUUGGGAAGUGAUGUACCUCCCAUGAGGGACUAUAGUGAGAAACAGUUCACUUAUUUAUGCAAAUAUUCUAGCUAUCAGCCUACAGAUUGCUUUGAGGGUGGAAAAGAAGUCUCUAUUACUCCAUUUCAUGUUCACUACAAAAUGCUAAUUCCCAUUCUGACUAGUGUGAACCUCAGGCAAGGUGACACUCUCAGUUGGAUUUUUUUCUUCUGAGUCUGAAAGCAUAGUGGUGUAGUCUGCCUAUAGUAAGGAUAGAUAGAUUACACUAAAUAAAUGGUAGUGUCAAAACAAUAAGGAAACCUUUUCUCUCAUGUAAGAGGUCCAGAGAUAACCACUUCAGUUUCAAUGUUGGUCAGUUUGCCUAAUGAUGGCAUCAAGAAUCAACAUUCUUUAAACUUUCUGCUCUGCUGCUUUCAGUGUAUUGGCUAUUGCCCUCAGAAUUGCGAAAUAGCUGCAGCAGCUCCAGACAGUGCAUUUGCUAUAAUAUUGAAAGGUGAAAAGAGAGGAAGGGUGCCUUAGAAGACCCUAGAUUUGGC